rnacentral:rRNA from 1 species
GACGAACGCUGGCGGCGUGCUUAACACAUGCAAGUCGAACGGGAUCCAAAGGCUUUUUGUUUUUGGUGAGAGUGGCGAACGGGUGAGUAACACGUGAGUAACCUGCCCCCUUCUUUUGGAUAACCGCAUGAAAGUGUGGCUAAUACAGGAUAUUCCAGGCUGGUCGCAUGAUUGGUUUGGGAAAUGGUUUGGUCUGGUGGGGGAUGGGCUCGCGGCCUAUCAGCUUGUUGGUGGGGUGAUGGCCUACCAAGGCGGUGACGGGUAGCCGGCCUGAGAGGGUGGGCGGUCACACUGGGACUGAGAUACGGCCCAGACUCCUACGGGAGGCAGCAGUGGGGGAUUUUGCACAAUGGGCGCAAGCCUGAUGCAGCGACGCCGCGUGAGGGAUGAAGGCCUGCGGGUUGUAAACCUCUUUCGCUGGGUUGAAAGGCCAUGCUUUGGGUGUGGUUGAUUUGAACUGGUAAAGAAGUACCGGCUAACUACGUG